GAUUGUAGAAGGGUUUGAAUUCUUUCUGUAAGUCGUCUGUUAUUCUUCUGCAGUGAUUUAGUUUGUUUACAUGAAUUUAACAUUGAUUUCAGGCCAAAGUUCAAGAGCUAACUGAACAUAUUUUGAAAAGUCACAUUCCUCGAUCAGUGACUGUUCAUUUUAGAGAACUUACCAGGAAGGUUGGUGAUAUUUGACUUUUCUAAUUUUUUUCCAAAGGAACCAUCUCAUAAUUUGCAUGUAUAGCUACAGAAUUCCUGUUCAUAGCAUUUGGGGCUAGACUGGAUUCUUUAUUAUGCUGUAUAUUCUUUUUAAAGCAUUGUUUUAUUAAAUUGCAAAUUUUCAAAAAUGCAAAACUUUGUCAUUUUCUUAGUGACUCCACUAUAUCAGAGCUAAUUUCAAAAGCGGGAAUAGUGGACUAUCUAGUUACUGUUUUAUCUUUCAGAGCAUGAUUUUCUUGGUAGGUGC
rnacentral:lncRNA from 1 species